AUAUGAGCAACAAAAUGUGGCUUU
rnacentral:siRNA from 1 species